rnacentral:tRNA from 1 species
GGGGUUGUGGCUCAGAGAUAGAGCAUGUGCCUCGCAUGUAUGAGGCACUGAGUUAGAUCCUCAGCACCA